UCCUCCUCCUCCUCCAUCCUUCGGCUGCAGGCGAGGAGCUCUCGGGUUCCUCUGCUGCUUCUUGCCUUAAUCAUAUUGCUGCACGCUCCCCUUCACCCAGGCCCUUCCCACCACACCAACACCAUCCAUCCCCUGUUCUCGAAAUCCCUUCUCCACUUCCCUUAUUGCCUCCCUGGGUGUCCAUGUCCUUAAUUAUCUCUGGGGGAAUGUGCAAACUGCCUCAACAUUCUCCCCUUUUGUAAACAAUACUAUAUUCAUGUCUCUGUUAAAUCUUUGUUCUUCACACAGUUCUGGAAUUUACCUGGACUUUAGCUGAGCAGCAUUUCCUGUUGAUUAAUAACAUUUUCUGACACUGA